GACGAACGCUGGCGGCGUGCUUAACAAAUGCAGGUCGAACGGAAGGCCCUUCCUUUGUUGGGUUCCCGGGUGGCGAACGGGGGAGGAAAACGGGAGUUACCUGCCCCUUACUUUUGGGUAACCUUAGGGAAACGGGGCUUAUACCCGGAAGGAACUCCUGCUGCAUGGGGGGGGGUGGGAAGUUUCGGCGGUUGGGGAUGGACUCGCGGCUUAUCGGCUUGUUGGGGGGGUAGUGGCUUACCAAGGCUUUGACGGGUAGCCGGCCUGAGAGGGUGACCGGCCACAUUGGGACUGAGAUACGGCCCAGACUCCUACGGGAGGCAGCAGUGGGGAAUAUUGCACAAUGGGCGGAAGCCUGAUGCAGCAACGCCGCGUGCGGGAUGACGGCCUUCGGGUUGUAAACCGCUUUCGCCUGUGACGAAGCGUGAGUGACGGUAAUGGGUAAAGAAGCACCGGCUAACUACGUG
rnacentral:rRNA from 1 species